UGUCUCCUCCGGAGGCCAUUGCUAUUGGAGUCCGAUUUAGCCAUGCUAGUUGCACGAGUUUAGACUCGUAGCAUAUAGCUCAGUAACACGUGGCCAAACUACCCUACAGACCGCAAUAACCUCGGGAAACUGAGGCCAAUGGCGGAUACGGCUUCCAUGCUGGAACUGCAGGAAGCUGGAAAUGCUCCGGCGCUGUAGGAUGUGGCUGCGGCCGAUUAGGUAGACGGUGGGGUAACGGCCCACCGUGCCAAUAAUCGGUACGGGUCGUGAGAGCGAGAGCCCGGAGACGGUAUCUGAGACAAGAUGCCGGGCCCUACGGGGCGCAGCAGGCGCGAAACCUUUACACUGCACGACAGUGCGAUAGGGGGACUCCAAGUGCGAGGGCAUAUAGUCCUCGCUUUUGUGCACCGUAAGGUGGUGCACGAAUAAGAACUGGGCAAGACCGGUGCCAGCCGCCGCGGUAAUACCGGCAGUUCGAGUGAUGGCCGAUUUUAUUGGGCCUAAAGCGUUCGUAGCCUGCCGGACAAGUUCGUUGGGAAAUCCGCGCGCUCAACGCGUGGGCGUCCAGCGAAAACUGUCUGGCUUGGGGCCGGAAGACUCGAGGGGUACGUCCGGGGUAGGAGUGAAAUCCCGUAAUCCUGGACGGACCGCCGAUGGCGAAAGCACCUCGAGAGGACGGACCCGACGGUGAGGGACGAAAGCCAGGGUCUCGAACCGGAUUAGAUACCCGGGUAGUCCUGGCCGUAAACGAUGUCCGCUAGGUGGUGGCGCAGGCUACGAGCCUGCGCUGUGCCGUAGGGAAGCCGUGAAGCGGACCGCCUGGGAAGUACGUCUGCAAGGAUGAAACUUAAAGGAAUUGGCGGGGGAGCACUACAACCGGAGGAGCCUGCGGUUUAAUGAAAU
rnacentral:rRNA from 1 species